UUUCAAAUCCUCAAACUUUUCUCAAAUUCAUGAAUGUUUUUUUCAAAACCAAUGAAUUUUUCAAACUCAUCAACUUUUUUCCAAUUUUGUGCUUAUUUUUCAAAUUCAUGAACUUAUUUUGAAUUUUGUAAAAAAAUCAAAUCCAUGAACUUUUUUGAAUUUACAAACUUUUUCCUUUUUUGCAAUUUAUUUGCUUUUCUGGAAUUUUUGCAUUUUUUUAGAAGUCAAUAGUUGACAUGUCAGGUGGUCAACCAUUGACAAAAAGCAAACGAUGUCACGUCUGCCAAGCGAUCGUGUCGGCCGCUGAUUGGCUGGCCCAUAUGUGCACUUGUGUGGGCGCCCGAAACCCUAAUCAGCGCAGAAGGCGCCGAUUAAGAGGUCUUAUUUUUUGUUGCCUCAGCUGCAAGUACAACCUCGACUCAACUAGGUCUGAAAUUUAUUUCGUCUCAAUUGAAAAGUCCACCAUCGACUCUCAAUCGGGCUUGAUCCUUUGUUUUUUUCCUUAGUUGCAUAGUCACUCUUAAUUUGCAACUCACAUGUAUGUGGAAGGUGAACAAGGGCAGCAAGCAGAACAAGCCUACCAUAUGUUUGUACUUCUAUAUAUGUUAUCCAUAGAUGACCCAAAUAAUUCUAUAUGAGUUGUCAAACACGAAACUACUUGCAUGGGUAUUUUAUCCUGGGUUUUCAGUUUAAUUUGUGCCUUAUAAAUGACCAAGAAAAAGGUGUUGCAAAAAAGAAUGAUGAAACGUCUGAGUGGCAUCCAUUUAGAGCUAGCUACUGUAGCUUGAGAUGAAGUGGACCCACACAAUGGCUCCCGGUGCACCAUGAUUGCUUUAGCACGUCGAGCUAUUUAGUGAUCCGUUGUAGUGAUUGGUGUAUGUACUCGGUAUGCUCUAGUUUGUGUAUAUAACUGACGGAGUACUGUGCUUCUGCUGUUCUGCAUGUUGCGACUCGUAUCACAGGAAACAGACACCGGAAGAGUAAGACGAUCAGUCGAACAGGCAGGCCGGAAGAAACGAAGAAAAAAAGACAAUCAAACAACCAUGAGUUGGUACUGCGGGCGGAUGCAUCCAUGUGCUAAUCUCCUGGCACCGCGUAGACGGAGCCAAACGAGUUGGGGCCUCCAGCCGGCUGGUAGUGGACAACAACACCGGGUUUGUUAAUUAAUCAACAAGUCACAGAUUGUCCUCUUUUUUGAUUGGUCUGGUGUGGAUUAUCAGGCCUGCCGCGCAAUCAUAGAUUUAUCUUUUGAUUUAUGCGGGUGGACAGAAACACCCUUUCUAAAGUUUUCUAGGGAUUGUAAUGAAGCACAGUAACACACUCCAGCAUUCAUUCUUUGCUUGAUAUUAGCAAACAAUGUAAAAUAACCAAGCUCACAACAUUCUAAAGCGGUCUAUUAGCUACUUCAGCACACAACAGACAGAAAGAAGUAAGCAGUAUUUGAUUUGCUCA